GACGAACGCUGGCGGCGUGCUUAACACAUGCAAGUCGAACGGAAAGGCCCUGCUUGCAGGGUACUCGAGUGGCGAACGGGUGAGUAACACGUGGGUGAUCUGCCCUGCACUUCGGGAUAAGCCUGGGAAACUGGGUCUAAUACCGGAUAGGAGCCAUUUUUAGUGUGAUGGUUGGAAAGUUUUUUUCGGUGUAGGAUGAGCUCGCGGCCUAUCAGCUUGUUGGUGGGGUAAUGGCCUACCAAGGCGGCGACGGGUAGCCGGCCUGAGAGGGUGGACGGCCACAUUGGGACUGAGAUACGGCCCAGACUCCUACGGGAGGCAGCAGGGGGGAAUAUUGCACAAUGGGCGCAAGCCUGAUGCAGCGACGCCGCGGGGGGGAUGACGGCCUUCGGGUUGGAAACUCCUUUCGCUAGGGACGAAGCUUUUUGUGACGGUACCUAGAUAAGAAGCACCGGCUAACUACGUG
rnacentral:rRNA from 1 species